AACGAACGCUGGCGGCAGGCUUAACACAUGCAAGUCGAGCGCCCCGCAAGGGGAGCGGCAGACGGGUGAGCAACGCGUGGGAAUCUACCCAUCUCUACGGAAUAACGCAUGGAAACGUGUGCUAAUACCGUAUACGUCCUUCGGAAGAAAGAUUUAUCGGCGAUGGAUGAGCCCGCGUUGGAUUAGCCAGUUGGUGGGGUAAAGGCCUACCAAGGCGACGAUCCAUAGCUGGUCUGAGAGGAUGAUCAGCCACACUGGGACUGAGAAACGGCCCAGACUCCUACGGGAGGCAGCAGUGGGGAAUAUUGGACAAUGGGCGCAAGCCUGAUCCAGCCAUGCCGCGUGAGUGAUGAAGGCCCUAGGGUUGUAAAGCUCUUUCACCGGUGAAGAUAAUGACGGUAACCGGAGAAGAAGCCCCGGCUAACUUCGUGCCAGCCGCCGCAGUAACAC
rnacentral:rRNA from 1 species